rnacentral:rRNA from 1 species
GGACCAAGGAGUCUAGCAUGUGCGCGAGUCAUUGGGACUCUAACGAAACCUAAAGGCGUAAUGAAAGUGAAGGCUCGCCUAGCGCGGGCCGAGGGAAGAUGGGUGUCCUCAAGUGGACGCCCCGCACUCCCAGGGCGUCUCGUUCUCAUUGCGAGAAGAGGCGCACCAAGAGCGUACACGCUGGGACCCGAAAGAUGGUGAACUAUGCCUGGUCAGGACGAAGUCAGGGGAAACCCUGAUGGAGGUCCGUAGCGAUUCUGACGUGCAAAUCGAUCGUCGGAACUGGGUAUAGGGGCGAAAGACUAAUCGAACCAUCUAGUAGCUGGUUCCCUCCGAAGUUUCCCUCAGGAUAGCUGGCGCUCGCUUCUCGCGAGUCUCAUUCGGUAAAGCGAAUGAUUAGAGGCAUUGGGGUCGAAACGGCCUCAACCUAUUCUCAAACUUUAAAUGGGUGAGAUCUCCGGCUUGCUUGAACUGUGAAGCCGCGAGAUUUCGGAUCAGAGUGCCAAGUGGGCCACUUUUGGUAAGCAGAACUGGCGCUGUGGGAUGAACCAAACGCUGAGUUAAAGCGCCUAAAUCGACGCUUAUGGGAUACCAUGAAAGGCGUUGGUAACUUAAGACAGCAGGACGGUGGCCAUGGAAGUCGGA